rnacentral:tRNA from 4 species
GCGUCUAUAGCUCAGUUGGUUAGAGCACCACCUUGACAUGGUGGGGGUCGGUGGUUCGAGUCCACUCGGACGCACCA